rnacentral:lncRNA from 1 species
CAAGGUAGAGUGUCGGUAUUUCAAAUAGGAAUAUUUCUCACGUAGUACGAGAUAUUGUGAUGUUUACUUUGAUGAUAGGUAGACGAAUUAUCAGUUAAGUAUAGAUUGGUUUUUUAGUUAUGACAGGAGCAUUACCAAAUGCAUUAAAGGAUACAUAUUUUUUUAUAAUCAAAGUAGCAUUAUGUUGUGGGACAUAUCUACACCAACAUCGACAUAAGCAUAAUCAUA